AGAGUUUGAUCCUGGCUCAGAGCGAACGCUGGCGGCAGGCCUAACACAUGCAAGUCGAGCGCCCCGCAAGGGGAGCGGCAGACGGGAGAGUAACACGUGGGAACGUGCCCUUUGGUUCGGAACAACACAGGGAAACUUGUGCUGAUACCGGAUAAGUCCGUAAGGAGAAAGAUUUAUCGCCAAAGGAUCGGCCCGCGUCUGAUUAGCUUGUUGGUGAGGUAACGGCUCACCAAGGCGACGAUCAGUAGCUGGUCUGAGAGGAUGAUCAGCCUCACUGGGACUGAGACACGGCCCAGACUCCUACGGGAGGCAGCAGUGGGGAAUAUUGGACAAUGGGCGCAAGCCUGAUCCAGCCAUGCCGCGUGGAUGAUGAAGGCCCUAGGGUUGUAAAGUCCUUUCGGCGGGGAAGAUAAUGACGGUACCCCGCAGAAGAAGCCCCGGCUAACUUCGUGCCAGCAGCCGCGGUAAUACGAAGGGGGCUAGCGUUGCUCGGAAUCACUGGGCGUAAAGCGCACGUAGGCGGCUUUCUAAGUCAGAGGUGAAAUCCUGGAGCUCAACUCCAGAACUGCCUUUGAUACUGGAGAGCUUGAGUCCGGGAGAGGUGAGUGGAACUGCGAGUGUAGAGGUGAAAUUCGUAGAUAUUCGCAAGAACACCAGUGGCGAAGGCGGCUCACUGGCCCGGUACUGACGCUGAGGUGCGAAAGCGUGGGGAGCAAACAGGAUUAGAUACCCCAGUAGUCC
rnacentral:rRNA from 1 species